GUGAACGCCCUCACGGGCUUAUACUAUUCCAAACCUCUGUGAACCGAUGCCCUUCGGGGCUAUUUUACAAACAUGGUGUAAUGAACGUCAUAUAUCAUAACAAAACA
rnacentral:misc_RNA from 1 species